GGUGUUUUUUUGGUUCCUAGAAAAUUGCAUUAACUAAUGAUUUCCCCCAAAUUAUCUAUGAAUAUAUGUUUGAUUUUAAAAUGUUUAAACACAAAUGUUCUGUAUUAACUGUUAUUUUAAUAUUUUUCUCUAUAAUCUAUGAUUUAAAUAUUUUCUUAUAUUAAACUCUUAGCUCUGCAGAACACAUAGUUUCGUUGGGAAUUCUAUCCCAUCAUAUUUUUACAUAUUCUCUUCUAAACGCUAAAGGUAGCGUUCUAAAGAAAAUAGAUCUUGUACAGGUUUCAACGCCCGAGGUUCAUUGGAGGCUUUUUAGAGGAUUAGUUUUCGGAAAUGAUGUCAGCGCAUUUAAUUAAUCUAUAUAAUUCAUUUUUGUAAUUUCAAGUGACCCUCUGAUUAAAAAAGGGGUUUUUACAACGCUAACCUUUAUGGUGUCAAUAAUGUGAAAGUAAAGUGUGGUCAGCUUGAAAAGUGUCUUAUUUUGAAUUUACACUUUUGUAGAGAACCCACAGUCUGAAAAUAAUAUUUUUUUUAAAGAGAAUCAUAUGGCCUAAUAUUUUUUUCAUUUUUUUAUUUGACAAGAAAUGUUAACUCUGUUGUGGAUCGGACAUGCAAUCCAUUAAUAGGGGGUUACAUGAAAUUUACGACCCAUAGAUCCUUUAACCUAUAUGAUUUAUUUAUUAUUGAGUUUUCUAAGCUUGUUAUAUAAAGUUUAAAUGUUAGAUGAAUUAAUGACUUUUCAAUUUUACAUGUAAUUAUAAUGUUUCAAAUGUAAAUGUAAUGUUUCAAAUGUAAAUAGGAUGUUUCAAAUGUAUAAUGUUUUAAAUAAGAUUGCUAGCUCAAAUUUUGCUCUGAAUCAGAUUAAAAACAUUUUACCAUUAAAUAUUCACCUACUAGUUUAUAAUGCAGUUGUAAGGCCACAUAUUGAGUACGGAAUUAUAACAUGGGGGGGCGUAAAAAAUGCUAAACUACAUAAAAUCAACUCUUUGCAAAAAAGGGCAAUUAGAGCAGUAAAUAAUAAUUUAUUUAAAGCACAUUCAGAACCAAUGUUCUUCAGAUUAGAAUUUCUAAAUCUUGAUGAUACAAAUAAACUAGGUGUUCUAUCUUUUAUGCAUAAAUACUUUUAUAAAAACCUUCCAACUUCCGUCCAUGAUAUGUUUAAUUCUUUAGCUGAACCAAAUAGAACAAAAUAUAAACUUGACUGAGCGGGUUCUUUUUAAAACUCGAGGAUAUUUUCCUUCCGCUUUAUUUCCAAAAUUAUGGAAUUCGAUUGAACUAGAGCUUAGAGAAACUAAAUCUGCAAAACUGUUUAAAAAACAAAUCUGCAAAAACUAUUGAGAUAGUUAUGCAAGUUAUAUCUGUAAAAAAAUUAACUGUUUUUCAUGUGGAUAAACUUAGUCUUUGCUAUCUUCUUCACCCUGCAAUUUAUAAACAUGAUUCUAAUAAUACAUGUUACCUCUGUUACAACCCUUCCGCUGAGUACCCACCCUUUUUCUUAUACUUUUUCACCCCCUCCUUACCUUAUUCCUGAUUUAUCAUCAUUGUUUUGUUUAAAAUGUACAAUUUACAGUGUACAUCCAUCUAUUUAUUUACAAUUCU
rnacentral:lncRNA from 1 species